rnacentral:rRNA from 1 species
GACGUAGGAGGCGAGCGUUGUCCGGAAUUACUGGGCGUAAAGCGUGCGCAGGCGGCGCGUUAAGACAGGUGUGAAAGCCCCGAGCUUAACUUGGGAAUUGCGCUUGUGACUGGCGUGCUGGAGUGUGGCAGAGGGAGGUGGAAUUCCACGUGUAGCAGUGAAAUGCGUAGAGAUGUGGAGGAACACCGAUGGCGAAGGCAGCCUCCUGGGCCAGCACUGACGCUCAUGCACGAAAGCGUGGGGAGCAAACAGG